rnacentral:rRNA from 1 species
CUGCUGCCUCCCGUAGGAGUUUGGACCGUGUCUCAGUUCCAAUGUGGGGGACCUUCCUCUCAGAACCCCUACUGAUCGUCGCCCCGGUGGGCCGUUACCCCGCCGGCAAGCUAAUCAGACGCAUCCCCAUCCUUUACCGGCCGAAGCCUUUGGUCAUGAAAAAUUAUGCAUCAACAUGACAACAUACGGUAUUAAUCCGCCUUUCGACGGGCUGUCCCAUAGUAAAGGGCAGGUUCGGAUACGCGUUACUCACCCGUGCGCCGGUCGCCCAU